GUACUACUCCCUUCGAUCGGAAAUACUUGUCAUCAAAAUAAAUAAAAGGGGAUGUAUCUAGAUGUAUUUUAGUUCUAAAUACAUUUUUUUUAUCCAUUUUGAUAACAAUAUUUUCGGACGGAGGGAGUACUAG
rfam:Triticum aestivum genome assembly, contig: Triticum_aestivum_CS42_TGACv1_scaffold_308360_4AS